rnacentral:lncRNA from 1 species
AUGCAAACCAGUGCUUAUGUAUGGCUGUCCCAUCCUGCAGGAAGUGGUCUGGAAAAUAUCUUCUGUUCAUUCAGACUGCACGUCUCUCCAUUGCAGGCUCCCUUUAGCAUAGAUGCUGAAGGAACUACCAGGGGAACACAUGGCCGUCAUUCAAAAUCAGCGCUCCAAAACAACAACAGGAUUUUGUUACUAUGGAAAAAGCGGUCAUUAAACACAGUACUUGUUUUGAUACUUCAACACAAAUCCAAAUCCCAGUCAACAUCUGGUUUGGUUGCUUGGUUAUGGAGGUAUGACAGUAAAAUAACAGCUUAAGCCCUUUUAGAAAAGACUGAGUCUUUAAAAAAAACAAAGACGACAUGCAUAAUGUCUGUUGAUUAUGAGGUCGGGAGAGGUAGACGUGGUGAGUGCUUUCUGCAAGCGCUCUUGGAUCCCUCAGUGUGAAGGUGAGUUUGCACAGAAGGAGACCCUCUGGCAUCAAAGUUGAACCUGGAGCUCAGCCAAGACUUAGCAUGAAACAAUCCCACUCCCCUCCCUCACCAUGAGUCAUAGUGUGCCUGUACUGUACAGUACUUCACAGCAAAACUUUAGCAUGCACAUUUGGUGCGCUUAUAUUCAGACUAAUUUACUGGAAACAGAAGAGUCCUAUUACUCUUUCUCCUCCUUGAGCUGCCUUUUCUCUUAGAAACAGAGACUGUGCAUUCAGAAAAACAAUGCUUUUUGUGUUCUUUCAUAUAAAUGUGCAUAAUCACAUAAUCAUGUACAUAACAAACACAUACACUUACAAUUCCCACCAGUCGUACAAAAUAGAAACUUGCAACCAGCCAAAAUGUACAAAACUCAGCAAGCCAUGGCAAGCUUCACUGUUGCUAUUGUUCACAGUUUGGGGUUUUCCAAUCCCCUAAUGAUAAGUAUUAUACUUUGGUGCAACUUGUCACAUACUUUGCAUCAUGAAAGAUAUCUCAAAUUCUGCAGCUUGUUGAGAAGAAGUAUGCUAUUAGUUUUCUAAAAAAAAAAACCCCUGUUAAAUUUAUGGUAAGAAGGUGGCUGUGAAAUUCACUGUAACAUUUACAGUGGAAAUGUUUCAGAUAUUAAGGGAUGGCAAAUUGUAUAUUGUCUGUAUAUUUUAUAACUUAUAGCCAUAUAUUUUGUCUACUUGAAAUAUUUUCCUUUAAAAUAUACUGAUAACCACUGUAAUAAUACAAGAGAUAAAAAAAGUGCCACAUUCAUGGUAAGUUACCUGUACAUAAAACAUGGUCAAUACUCAUAUUUAGAUGGUGCACAUGCACAUAAAGAAAAAAAACACCAUAAGGGUAAUUGGUAAUUAUUAUGCAAUAAAAUUAACCAAAUAAAAGGAAAUGGAAGGAUUUUUUAUUUGAUAGUUCAUAUAAUAAUUCAUCAUAACUGAUCAUUUUUACUUCACAAAACUAUACAGUAGUAACAAUAUUUAUAGUGAAAUUACAAAUAAUGCAAUGCAAAGUUUUCACUGUAUGUAUGUGCGUAUCCUUUCUUUCUCUCUCUGUCUUUCUCUACCUCUUUCUUUUAGCUUGAGACUGUGUGUUCUUGGGUUGUCACCAGCCAAUCAGCAUCAGGACAUCAUCUGCCUUCAGUUCCAUUGUCAUCAGUCACAUGGCAUUUAAGAUUCAGCUGACGGAUAACAGAUACAGAUAGCUCUAUGGUGAAUUAUAUACCUCCUUGAGUUGAUCCACUGCUGUUUUAAAUCAUGGUUAAACAUGGUUGUAUUACCAUCACUGUCCACCAGAUGCCAGCACACAGUCUCUGCUUAAAGUUAAUUUUUUUUCACCAGGACAUAUAAAGAAACAGAAAAGAAAGAUGCAAAGUGGUUUUGCCCUGGGCAUGGUUGGUGUUAAAACAGAAAUACUGCAGAUAACGUUUGAUGGACAACAACGGUUAGAGUAUGGACAGUUGACAAGCCUUAUACAUGGAGCAGUUUGAACAGACAUGGAAGAGAGGAUGAUGAACAGAUAGAUAGUCAGGAGUCUAGACAAGAAGGAAGGGAAUGUAGGUUAACUUCAAGAGAACAUCUAAAUUAUAGAGGAGGGAUGGGAGCUCCUUGAGCAUUCCAAGUUAGUGACACAGAGACACCAAUUUAAACGUGGUUUCAUAAAGACUACCUUUAAAUAUGCCCUCACGAUUGGGUUAAAUAAUGAGUCCAACUUCAUGUGUAGGGUGCAUGUGUCAGUCCUGGAUCCAGUUUCAAGCCUAUCAGAUCUAUCAGUGUUUGUGCAUUUGCUUUGUGGGCAUCUGUGUUUACAUGUGCAUGAAUUUGAUAAACGACAUACAUCAUGCUAAUCACAGAUGUCUAAAUCCAGCACACAGCUCGUGCUUCAGGAGGGUAUGUAAUCCACAGCUGUGUGCUUGUGUGUGAGGAUCAAUGAGCCCACCACUGAAGAUAUAAAUCAGUGCACUAGAGUGUGUAUCAAACCGGCCUCCUCCUUUGCUCAAUUUCAAAGUAAGUAGAACUGAAUGAGCACUGUUGGAGAGAGCCUUCAAAAAGACAACAAAAUAAUAAACACAUAUCGAUCCAGAGGCACCUUUCCGAUUGCCUUUGUUUGUGCACAAAAGGAGGUGGGAGGUUAUAGGGUUCAGAGUCCUAUAUUAUUACUUGCUAAGGUGUAUGUAAAUGGGAGAGAGAUUAUAGGUGGUCCUAAUUAUCUCAGUGUCACUAUCCAAGCACAUUUGUGUGAAGACCCAAGUGCAACAGAGUUCACAGAAAGAUCAUUCACAAAGCAGCAACACUCCGCACUGAGCUAAUGACCACCCCCGUGUGUGUUCCACAUCCUGGCCUAAUUAAGGGACAUUGAGUUUGUUAUACAAACGCUUGUCAUAUGCAAGAGCUAGGAAUACUCAACCAUGCGGUUUGUUCUUGAUCUCAGGCUUCUGAAUGUCAUGAACUGAACACAGUGAACGCCGUAUUUGAAAGUAUCAUCCUGGGUCUAUUUUUCAGUUGUGACUAAAUAAUGAAUGUCAG